CACUUCAAUAAGUGCCAUACA
rnacentral:miRNA from 1 species